UUAGCUUCUCGGCCCUUUGCCUAAGAUCAAGUUUAGUAUCUGUUCUUAUCAGUUUAAUAUCUGUUAUGUCCACUAUCUGAGGACUCUAUAUUAAAUGGAUUUGCGGGACUGGGUUAAUAGUUAAAAAAAA
rnacentral:snRNA from 1 species